CAUAGCCAGAUGACAGGCCAGGCCAGCAAAAUGACUGAAUCCUAACACAAGUACCACAGGCUGAGUGACUUAAACGCCACACAUGGAUUUCCUUGCAUUUUUAGAGGGUGAAAGCUCAAAAUGAAUGUGUUUCUGCAAUUCUGUUUCUGCAAGGACGCCCUUCCUGGCAUCCCCGCUGCCCCUGGCAGUUUUCUCACUGAGGUCUUUCACUGGGAACUGCAGCAGGCAUGCAGCAUUCGACGUAAGAAUGUGAAGUCCUCAACUCCCUGGUUUUUGCUUCAGAGGUGCUGUUGGAGGUGGGGGACCAUGAUGCCAAGACACCAGGAAAGUGGAGACAUGGAGACUUGGAGACACUCUUUCACAGCUGCCUGGAACUCUGGUCACACAUCAUUCCUGAAAACAUGGUCUGGAUAUAGAGAACCCUGGUCCAGCAGCUGCCUGCCCUGCCACAGUGAAGCCACCUCCACUUCCAUUGGCUAUUCUGGAGUGACUGACAGUCAGAGUGGGCAGAGGGAGCUGAUGGCAGAGAUCGAUGUAUGAGCAUGAGCCAGGCAGAGUUCCAAGCCAG